GCGGUGAUCGCGGCGCGGUCGUGGGCCGGCGGCCUGCCCCGCCGCGGGCGUUCGGGCCGCGCCCAGAGCAGUUCGGGAUCCACCCCGGCGUG
rnacentral:tRNA from 1 species